GGAGCUCAGCGGAAAAGCUUGUGCUUUGCAUGCAGAAGAACCUAGAUUCAACCUCUAGCAUCUCUA